AAGAGUCAAGAACAUUAUUUAGAUGAUACUGUAGAGAUGAACUCUUCUCUGGGCUUAGUGACUGUGGUGCUCUUAGUGCUUGGACGAAUCCAUGGAGACUCGGUGACCCAGACAAAAGGCCAAGUGACUCUCUCAGAAGGAGCUCCCCUGACUGUGAAUUGCUCCUAUGAGACCAUACUGUUCCCUGCUCUUUUCUGGUAUGUUCAGUAUCCUGGAGAAGGUCCACAGCUCCUCCUGACAGCCACAAUGGUCAACGAGAGUGGAAGCAGCAAAGGAUUUGUAGCCACAUACCAAAAACAACCAGAUGCCUUCCACUUGGAGAAAGCCUCCGUCCACCAGUCAGAUUCGGCAAUGUACUACUGUGCACUGGGUGACACAGUGACAGAAACUGCAGGGGGAGCUGAGCACAAACUCUGA